rnacentral:rRNA from 1 species
AGAGUUUGAUCAUGGCUCAGGACAAACGCUGGCGGCGUGCGUAACACAUGCAAGUCGUGCGGGCUGGCUUCGGCCAGUCAGCGGCGGACGGGUGAGUAACACGUGAGUCACCAACCCUCCAGUGGGGGAUACCCAGCGGAAACGUUGGCUAAUCCCGCAUACGCUUCUUCGGAAGGAAAGCCGUAAGGCGCUGGUGGACG